rnacentral:rRNA from 1 species
CGGAGGAAAAGAAACCAACAGGGAUUGCCUUAGUAGCGGCGAGUGAAGCGGCAAAAGCUCAAAUUUGAAAUCUGGCUCUUUCAGAGUCCGAGUUGUAAUUUGAAGAAGGUAUCUUUGGGUCUGGCUCUUGUCUAUGUUUCUUGGAACAGAACGUCACAGAGGGUGAGAAUCCCGUGCGAUGAGAUGAUCCAGGCCUAUGUAAAGUUCCUUCGAAGAGUCGAGUUGUUUGGGAAUGCAGCUCUAAGUGGGUGGUAAAUUCCAUCUAAAGCUAAAUAUUGGCGAGAGACCGAUAGCGAACAAGUACAGUGAUGGAAAGAUGAAAAGAACUUUGAAAAGAGAGUGAAAAAGUACGUGAAAUUGUUGAAAGGGAAGGGCUUGAGAUCAGACUUGGUAUUUUGUAUGUUACUUCUUCGGGGGUGGCCUCUACAGUUUAUCGGGCCAGCAUCAGUUUGGGCGGUAGGAGAAUUGCGUUGGAAUGUGGCACGGCUUCGGUUGUGUGUUAUAGCCUUCGUCGAUACUGCCAGCCUAGACUGAGGACUGCGGUUUAUACCUAGGAUGUUGGCAUAAUGAUCUUAAGUCGCCCGUCUU